CGUCGUGACCUAGUAAUCCCUGAGCAGUACCAAACAACAGAAGGCGGGGAACAGUUCCUGGCAUUUGAAGAUGGGGACGAGGACAAGAUCCUGGGAUUCGCCACCACUUCCAACAUUGAAGUUGUCAC